CUUUCUCCGCCGGCGACCGGCGCACGGGUGAGUAACACGUAUGCAACCUGCCCCUGUCAGGGGGACAACCCGCCGAAAGGCGGGCUAACCCGCGUACAUGCCACCGGGGCAUCCCGGAGGCAGGAAAGGCUUCGGCCGGACAGGGAUGGGCAUGCGGCGCAUUAGGCAGUAGGCGGGGUAACGGCCCACCUAGGCGACGAUGCGUAGGGGUUCUGAGAGGAAGGUCCCCCACACUGGUACUGAGACACGGUCCAAACUCCUACGGAAGGCAGCAG
rnacentral:rRNA from 1 species